UACGUAGGGUGCAAGCGUUGUCCGGAAUUAUUGGGCGUAAAGAGCUCGUAGGCGGUUCGUCGCGUCGGCUGUGAAAUCCCGGAGCUCAACUCCGGGUCUGCAGUCGAUACGGGCGGACUCGAGUUCGGCAGGGGAGACUGGAAUUCCUGGUGUAGCGGUGAAAUGCGCAGAUAUCAGGAGGAACACCGGUGGCGAAGGCGGGUCUCUGGGCCGAUACUGACGCUGAGGAGCGAAAGCAUGGGUAGCGAACAGG
rnacentral:rRNA from 1 species